AUAUUCCAAUAUAUAUAUAUAAUAUAUAUAUAUAUAUAUAUAUAUAAUGGAAUAUUACUCGGCAAUCAAAAAUAAUGAAAUCUUGCUAUUUGCAACUACAUGGAUGAAACUGAAGGGUAUGAUGCUAAGUAAAAUUAGUCAGAGAAAGACAAAAAUCAUAUGACUUCUCUCAUAUGAGGACUUUAAGAGACAAAACAGAUGAACAUAAGGGAAGGGAAAUAAAAAUAAUAUAAAAACAGGGAGGGGACAAAAUAAAAGAGACUCAUAAAUAUGGAGAACAAACUGAGGGUUGCUGGAGGGGUUGUGGGAGGGGGGAUGGGCUAAAUGGGUAAGGGGCAUUAAGGAAUCUACUCCUGAAAUCAUUGCUUCACUAUAUGCUAACUAAUUUGGAUGUAAAUUUUAAACAAUAAAAAAUAAAGUUAAGUCAUUUAAAAAAAAGGUAUAAAAAAAUAAAGGGAAAUUAUGGAUAACCACCAAGGAUAAAAAUUAACCCGUAGAACGCGUAGGAUAAGGCAAGGGCAGUGAACCUGAAUCUCUGGAAAGUUCCUAGUGACUGAGAAUCAUGUAAAUUUGCAUAACUGGCUUUGUGAAAGUGGUGAGACCUUAUUGGUAGGUCACAAAUGUUACUUAAUUGCCUGAUUUGAAGAUUAAAUGGUGUAAGAAAAAAGACUGUGGCUGCUACCCUUUGCUGGAAAAGAUUAGAAGAUGGGCUUUCCCCAGAAUGCAGCUGACCUUGUAGCUGAGGAUGGGGCCACUCGAAACCUAAAUACACUGGAAGAAAAGCCAAAGACAGUUUUGUGGAGACUCCGUGAGUCCAAUAGGAGUGCAGAAAACAUUAAUUACAGGUAAUAAAAAGUGAUUAGGCAAGCUAUUCCCUAUUUGCUAUAGUCUGUAAUUUUGUGCUACCAAAUAAUGACGUGUCAAGACAAAAAUUGUAUUCUCUUCUGGUUAUGUUUCUUCCUCCAUGAAAAACAAUGCUUUCUGCCAUCCUCAGGGGAGUGUGUUUUGUGGAUUUUGGUUUGAUUUGGUUCAAUUUGAUUUGUGAAUCUGUU
rnacentral:lncRNA from 1 species